CUGCUGCCUCCCGUAGGAGUCUGGGCCGUAUCUCAGUCCCAAUGUGGCCGGCCAACCUCUCAGUCCGGCUACUGAUCGUCGCCUUGGUGGGCCGUUACCCCACCAACUAGCUAAUCAGACGCGAGGCCAUCUUUCGGCGAUAAAUUCUUUGACAUUCAGACCAUGCGGCCCAAAUGUAUCAUGCGGUAUUAGCAGUCGUUUCCAACUGUUCGUCCCCCUCCGAAAGGCAGGUUCCUCACGCGUUACUCACCACG
rnacentral:rRNA from 1 species